rnacentral:rRNA from 1 species
UGGAUAUCUGCCUUUUGGUUCGGAAUAACCCCGGGAAACUGGGGCUAAUACCGGAUGGUUCCUUCGGGAUAAAGAUUUAUCGCCAAAAGAUGAGUCCGCGUACGAUUAGCUAGUUGGUGAGGUAAUGGCUCACCAAGGCGACGAUCGUUAGCUGGUCUGAGAGGACGAUCAGCCACACUGGGACUGAGACACGGCCCAGACUCCUACGGGAGCAG